AGUGCAAUACGAAGUCCCAAGGUACCAAGUAGGGUAGCAUCUAGAGAAGCAUUUGGAUAGAACGGGGCCACGAGCAUGAGAUUGUGGGGGCAGCGCCUGCCCUGUGGGACCGCUGAAUUAGCUGGUACACUUCUCAGACUAACAGUGCACCGUGCUCUUGCUGAAUGUGCCUCUGCCCCAGAAAGGGAUAGAAAAUGCAAAGGCAAAGGCAGGUGGUAUAGAUUUUAAGAGCAUGGCUAAGGCUCAGUCAUAGGAUACUUAUGAUCCACAAAACCUGGGCCGCUUACCGAUUUUGGCCAAGCUGGCCACGAGGAUCCAGAGCGCAAUGAUGUAUGGAUCCUGGACGUGGUGCCAUUUGAAGGUGACCACCUGGAAGCUCCCAUCACUGCUCGGUUCCUCCUCAGCCCCCCUCGCGCCUUGCAGGCUGGUCAGCGCCAGGGCCAGCAGCAGCUUCCACCCUGGUCCCAGAGCCCGGUGCCACAUCGCUGCUGCUCAGCUCCGGGAGCCAACACGCAUACCUUGGUGAGUACCUGCUGCGCUCUCCGUCGCAGCCCUCUGCGCGAGCCCGGAGCUGGCAGCAGUCAGGUCCCCAGGCCCGCCCGGGUGGCCUUUAAUCCCGCUGCCUCCUCCCGCGCCAGGGCGGGGCCUUCCCGCCCCCGCUGCGCACACGUGAACGCAAACAGUCCUGCUGCGUUAGAAGCACUCCCGCCUGCCCUGCUCACGCCCGGGCUCUCUGGGUGCUGUGGGCUCCUAAGCCAGCAGCUAGAACCUGUGGAUUCGAGGCCGCUCCUCCCCAAGGUCGAGUGACAUCUAGCCCACUGGCAGUCGCUUCCUUCCCAGCGGAGCGCAGUGCGAGGUCCGGCAUACCAUUGUCGAUUCUACCCGUUAAAUUGGACCUGCUUCUCCUGCCUUGGCCACUUCAGCAACCGGAUGGUUUUGCUAGUUGCGGGGUACGCUGCACCCCGUUAUAUACACUCAGCAAGUCCCCUUUUUAUUGAGAACCUGGAGUCCACAUCUAAGUAAAUUGGGACAGUCAAGAAAGACAGAAAAUUAAGGGGACAUAGGACAGGAAGAAGCUUCUCAUUCCAGAGUAGUCUCAAUCCUCUGGCCAAGUGAGAGUCAAGAAUUCCAUCACAAUUAAAAAUUGCUAUGAACUUUGCAUAUAUACAGU
rnacentral:lncRNA from 1 species